rnacentral:rRNA from 1 species
CUGAGAGAGAUGAUUCAGCAACCUGAACUGAGACCAGUCCAAUCCUACGGAGGCAGCAGUGGGAAUAUGGCACAUGAAGGAAACUCUGAUGCAGCACGCGCGUGGAGGAUGACGCAUUCCGUGUGUAACUCCUUUUAUUAUGGAGAUAAUGACGUAACAUAUGAAUAAGCACCGGCUACUCCGUGCCAGCAGCGCGGUAAUACCGGAGGGUGCAAGCGUACUCGGAAUCACUGGGCGUAAAGCGCGCGCAGGCGGCUAUUUAAGUUGGAUGUGAAAGCGUACGGCUCAACCGUAGAACUGCAUCCAAAACUAUUUAGCUAGAGUGUGGGAGAGGAAGAUGGAAUUAGUUGUGUAGGGGUAAAAUCCGUAGAGAUAACUAGGAAUACCAAAAGCAAAGGCAAUCUUCUGGAACACUACUGACGCUGAGGCGCGAAAGCGUGGGGAGCAAACAGGAUUAGAUACCCUGGUAGUCCACGCAGUAAACGAUGAAUGUUAGUCGUCGGGUAGCUAGUCUAUUCGGUGAUGCAGCUAACGCAUUAAACAUUCCGCCUGGGGAGUACGGUCGCAAGAUUAAAACUCAAAGGAAUAGACGGGGACCCGCACAAGUGGUGGAGCAUGUGGUUUAAUUCGAAGAUACGCGAAGAACCUUACCUAGCCUUGACAUAUUAAAGAACACUUUAGAGAUAGAGUGGUGCCUUCGGGAGCUUUUAUACAGGUGCUGCACGGCUGUCGUCAGCUCGUGUCGUGAGAUGUUGGGUUAAGUCCCGCAACGAGCGCAACCCUCGUCACUAGUUACUAACGGUUAGGCCGAGGACUCUAGUGAGACUGCCUUCGCAAGGAGGAGGAAGGUGAGGACGACGUCAAGUCAUCAUGGCCCUUACGGCUAGGGCAACACACGUGCUACAAUGGUUGGGACAAUGAGACGCGAUACCGCGAGGUGGAGCAAAUCUAUAAACCCAAUCUCAGUUCGGAUUGUAGUCUGCAACUCGACUACAUGAAGCUGGAAUCACUAGUAAUCGUAGAUCAGCUAUGCUACGGUGAAUACGUUCCCGGGUCUUGUACUCACCGCCCGUCACACCAUGGGAGUUGAUUUCACCCGAAGCGGGGAAGCUAAACUGGCUACCCUCCACGGUGGAAUCAGCGACUGGGGUGAAGUCGUAACAAG